ensembl:lncRNA
AGAAACACCACAGGACAUUGUGCAUUUUUGUCCUAACAGUUCAAACCUAUUUGGAAACCCUGAAUGGGGGUAUCAUCUUUAAUAAGUGGAAGCUAGAUGUCCCAGCCGUCUAAUAGUUUAUUAUUGCUUUUGUGUUUGACCUCACAGUCAUCCUCAUUUCCACCGAAGCCGCUCUCUGUCCCAGCAGAAGAGGUGACCUGGAUGUGAACCCUCCGUGGAGUUAUUUUUAGGACCUGCCUGUAAUCGUGAAGGACAUAUAUAUUUAUGGAUCUCAAAACCAACUAUCUGCACAGUGGUGGAAGAAGCAGUCCAGUCCUUUAGCCAGGUCAGCACUCAGUGAGACAGCGCAGCAUCGUGGAUUUAGUUUCAUCGCUUCUAUUCUCCAUCAACUUCCCCCACCAGCCUGCUCCUCGGUGAUACGGAAUGCAACAUCAUGUUUGUGCCCUGUGAACCUGAAGGGGACGACCUGUCUGACAGGAAGAGCUGAGUUGUUUCCUUUGACAAGAUGGCAGCUGACCCCACACCGCUUUAGGGAAAACAUGUAUGAUAGUCGGGAUCGCGUUUGUCUUUGAAGUUCUCAGAAUUGCAGGCAAACAAGGGAAACCUUUUUAAGUUUUGUGUUUCAGAACAGAAUUAACAUGGAAGAAUGCUGAGAGGAAUUCUAUUGUUACAUUCCUCUCAUCUCAAAUACUACCUACAACUGGAGAAGGUAAUAUACCAGAGGAACAAAUACCUGAAACCAGAACACAUGUUUAAAAGCUAUGUUUAAUUUGCUGUAUAUGGUGACAAAUAUGCGGACAUGUUUCGGUUUUUAUCCACCCUUAGAGCACGUAUGAGAAAACAUUUACCUGAGAUCACUUCCUCUACUGGAAAACAAAAGGAAACUACAGACCAAUAAAAGACAGAGAUGUUUAGGGCAGACUAACUAAAUACAGUGCUCCCACUGCAUUUUUAAAACUAUUUCUGUAAUGCUUUGCACAUAUAAAGGUGGUGAGAUAUGUUUUCUAUGCUGUCAGUUCCUCACUAGAUCUUACUGUUUUUGGAUAUUUUUAUCCGUGCAGAAUUAGCGGUUGUGGGUUUUGGUGUUUUGUGAUUUGAGGAGGAAUAGUUGCCUGCCAGAUGUCAUUGUUUCCUGCUGAUUGGUUCAAAUCAAGUGAUGUGUCUUUAACAAAAAGAGAGCUCACUGCUGUCAUGCAUGCUCUGAGGAAGACUUUAAGCCAAAAUAUGUCAAUAGACUGAAAAAAAAUCAUAAAAAGAUCAAAAUACAAGGUAAAGCUUAUUUUUAAAGCUAUGAAAUGUUGCCUUUUUUCAUAAUUUUUGUACAGCCAGGUCAUCAUAUGUGUUUGAUAUAGAAAAGUAUAAAUUUACGGAGAAUUUCAACAAAAUAAGCAUAUUAUCUUUACUUAAUUGAGUCAAGAACUGAGCAGCUUUGUGCAACAGACAUUUACCUGAAGUUUGGUAGGUUUACGAGAGCCUUUUCUCCCAAACAUUACUUUGUCAUAUAACUAAACAUCACACUCCUAUCAUUUUUUUUUUGUUAUUACUAAUUUGUUAUAGAGAAUAUGUUGUUCUUUUAAAGGAGAAGCAUUUCAAUGCAGGAGACAACGACCUGUUAUCUCUUCUGUACAAAGCCACAUUCAGUUGGAUUAAAAGCUCACUUCAAAGGACAUUUGUUCAGCUACUGAGGUAAAUUGUAUUUUAGAGAGAUGAAUCAUCAAAUACCACCAUGAUUUAUGCUGAGAAACUAAAUCAAAAGCUUUAUUUUGAGUUCUUAAUUAGCCAUCAGUCCGAGCAGACAGAUGGACUCUUGCUGUUCAGUUCUGACGUGCGACACGUGCACGUAACUCUGUCAUGUGAACUCUAAUUUCCUGCAGAGCAGCAAUCUGUGGCUGAAGUCUGGUUGAUGGAAGUGGUGAAAUGCUGAGGAAUGUUGAGUCAUUAUGCAAAAAAAUGCACAGAUGUAUUAGUUGGUGACCUAUAGCUGUUUGUGUUAAUAAGUAUUCGGGUACAGUGCAUGGUUGCUUUCUCUUCAGCAGCCUUUAUCUUUUAGAAGGGGAGCAUUUCACACCACAUCCAGUAAAUGAUUUCAUUCUUCUAAUAAAAAUACAUAACUCUCGCCUCAUUGCCUUUGCUCUUGUAUCAAGUCUGUGCAGGUAAUUUGCCCAGUGGCCUGCACUAACACGCAACUAUUAAGGCC